rnacentral:tRNA from 1 species
GGAGUUGUAGCUCAGUGGUAGAGUGCUUACCUCGCAAGCAAUGAGACCCUGGGUUUGAUCCUCAACACCA